UGGGGUCUGCAACUCGACCCCAUGAAGUCGGAGUCGCUAGUAAUCGCAGAUCAGCAACGCUGCGGUGAAUACGUUCCCGGGCCUUGUACACACCGCCCGUCAAGUCACGAAAGUCGGUAACACCCGAAGCCGGUGGCCUAACCCUUGUGGGGGGAGCCGUCGAAGGUGGGACCAGCGAUUGGGACUAAGUCGUAACAAGGUAGCCGUACCGGAAGGUGCGGCUGGAUCACCUCCUUUCUAAGGAGCAU
rnacentral:rRNA from 1 species